AGGAGACUUGGAAAUGACUCUGGAUUGAGUGCCGCAGAGAUAAGUGACGGUGAUGAAGACUCUGAUCCUGACCUUAGAGAAAAGUGAGAAGUGACUCUAGCAGAGGCAGAGAGCUCCAAGGGUACAAGCAGAAAGGUUUCUGGUGA